GAGUGGUGAUUGACGUGCAUGGGUAUGUUGGAUCCCUGCUUGGGCAGCGACAAUAUAUCUUGCUCGACUCUUCAGUUGUUGGCAUAGGCAUGUUGAGCCUUUGUCUUAAUAUGCUUUCUUGUGUUGCAUACCCCAUUAAAAGGGCAUUUAAUUUGUUCAAUUUCAUCAGUUCUCUUCUUGUUGUGUCCCCUCGGAUUUUGGCAUGUAGUGAACUUUAAAGCAUUGAUUGUGUUCCACUUUCCUUGCAUGUGCUCAUGCUUGGGUUGUUGGACCAUGAUCCUUGCUCGAUCUCUCGGUUGUGGAAUACCUUGUGGGCAUGAGGUGCUAGUCUCUAUUAGCCCUUAUUGAGCGUUUAACGCUACGUGCGAAUGACAAUUGUGGUCGUCUUGACUAAGGUCUUUAUGGCCUGGCUCAUACGGUCCAAGUGUCGAUGAGGAAUGCUACCUGGUUGAUCCUGCCAGUAGUCAUAUGCUUGUCUCAAAGAUUAA
rnacentral:misc_RNA from 1 species